ACGAACGCUGGCGGCGUGCUUAACACCUGCAAGUCGAACGGUGAAGCGCCUUCCUUUUUGGUGGGUGUGGAUGAGUGGCGAACGGGUGAGUAACACGUGAGUAACCUGCCCCCUUCUUCUGGAUAACCGCAUGAAAGUGUGGCUAAUACGGGAUAUUCUGGGUCUGUCGCAUGAUGGGUCUGGGAAAGAUAUUGUUUCGGUGGGGGAUGGGCUCGCGGCCUAUCAGCUUGUUGGUGGGGUGAUGGCCUACCAAGGCGGUGACGGGUAGCCGGCCUGAGAGGGUGGACGGUCACACUGGGACUGAGACACGGCCCAGACUCCUACGGGAGGCAGCAGUGGGGAAUAUUGCACAAUGGGCGCAAGCCUGAUGCAGCGACGCCGCGUGAGGGAUGGAGGCCUUCGGGUUGUGAACCUCUUUCGCCAGUGAAGCAGGCCUGCCUCGUUUGUGGGUGGGUUGACGGUAGCUGGAGAAGAAGCGCCGGCUAACUACGUG
rnacentral:rRNA from 1 species